GACACGAUGGCCGAGUGGUCUAAGGCGGUAGAUUUAAGUUUUGCGAUGUGGUCGCUCUGGUUAAAUCUCUACUGGGGAAACCCGCGUGAGUUCGAACCUCACUCGUGUCA